UACGGGGGGAGCAAGCGUUGUUCGGAUUUACUGGGCGUAAAGGGCGCGUAGGCGGUCAGCACAAGUCAGUUGUGAAAUCUCCGGGCUUAACUCGGAAAGGUCAACUGAUACUGUGCGACUUGAGUUCGGUAGGGGAGACUGGAAUUCCUGGUGUAGCGGUGAAAUGCGCAGAUAUCAGGAGGAACACCGGUGGCGAAGGCGGGUCUCUGGGCCGAAACUGACGCUGAGGAGCGAAAGCGUGGGGAGCGAACAGG
rnacentral:rRNA from 1 species